GCGGUCAUACCACACUGAAAACACCGGUCUGAUCACCGAAGUUAAGCAAUGUUAGGUCCGGUCACUACUUGGGAGGGUGACCACUUGGGAACACCUGGUGCUGUAAGAU